rnacentral:lncRNA from 1 species
CUUCUCCAUCCAUCUAUCGUACCGCUCCAAAGGCUCUCUAGACCUCACUGCCAGCCGACCUUCUACAGUGAUCAACUAUUCUCCAAACUCCUUUCAGACUUCAUCAAUAUCUGAACUUCUUUGACAAUGAGGUUUCUACAAUAAUCGAACUCCAUUCGAGUUUCUACGAUGGUCGACCGCCUUCAGGAUUCUUACCGGGCUCCUGUGAGAGCCGAAUUUCUACUAUGAGCGGUCUACUUCGAACUCCUACAGCGAGCGGUCUGCUCCGAACUUCUACUACGAGCGGUC